rnacentral:rRNA from 1 species
GAGAGUUUGAUCCUGGCUCAGGAUGAACGCUGGCGGCGUGGAUAAGGCAUGCAAGUCGUACGGCUUUGCCUUCGGCAAAGUGCGCAGAACUGACGCAGAACUAUACGCAGAACUGACGCAGAAAAUUUUUCUGCGUGGUUCCGCGCUAGCGAUUGUGAAGCAAUCGCUCUCUUCCGCGUCUGUUCCGCGUGCCUCGCUGGAGGCGAGACAGUGGCGAACGGGUUAGUAACACGUAGAUACAAACCCGCUACACAGGUAUAACUCGGAGAAAUCCGAGCUAAUUCCUGAUGGUCUGACGGCUGAACCUUGCUUACAAGGUUUAAAUAACUAAUAACCAAUUUCUAAUUUCUAAUAAAAAUCUAAAUGUCCAAUGACUAAUGCCUAAAUCUUUUAGACAUUAGACAUUUAAGAAUUGGACAUUUUAUUAGACAUUAGGAAUUAGAAAUUAGGAAUUUAUUUUUGACGUUGAAAGAUUAAAUUUUGUAAGUAUGGUUCAGCUGUCAGUAAAGGUAUAGACAACUUUACCGGUAGCGGAUUGGUCUGCGGCCUAUCAGCUUGUUGGUGGGGUAAUGGCCCACCAAGGCAAUGACGGGUAGGGGGAGUGAGAGCUUGACCCCCAACAGAGGUACUGCGACACGGACCUCACUCCUACGGGAGGCAGCAGUCGAGAAUAUUCGGCAAUGGGCGAAAGCCUGACCGAGCGACGCCGCGUGCGGGAAGAAGGCCUUCGGGUUGUAAACCGCUUUUUAUUCUGAUAAAGCCGAGCACUCAAUACGCAUAAUCAAAUUAUUCAUUGUUAUUAUUGAUUAAAUUUAUAUUUUCUGUCUUUAAAAGAUUGUGUUUAUUGAGUGCUCGGUUGAUAGUAGGAAUAGAAUAAGGGGCCUCUAAUCACGUGCCAGCAGAGGCGGUAAUACGUGAGCCCCAAGCGUUAUCCGGAAUUAUUGGGCGUAAAGCGUCUGUAGGCGGUUUGUUAAGUUUCUCGUCAAAUUUCACGGCUCAACCGUGGAGCUGCGGGAAAAACUGACAAACUAGAGAACAUAAGAGGCUGAUGGAACUCACGGUGUAGGAGUGAAAUCCAUUGAUAUCGUGGGGAACACCAAAGGCGAAGGCAUUCAGCUGGGAUGGUUCUGACGCUGAGAGACGAAAGCGUGGGGAGCAAAAAGGAUUAGAUACCCUUGUAGUCCACGCCCUAAACGAUGGACACUAGCUGUCUGGAGUAUCGACCCUCUGGGUGGCGAAGCUAACGCGUUAAGUGUCCCGCCUGGGAAGUACGGCCGCAAGGCUAAAACUCAAAGGAAUAGACGG